rnacentral:rRNA from 1 species
UACGUAGGGUCCGAGCGUUGUCCGGAAUUAUUGGGCGUAAAGGGCUCGUAGGCGGUUUGUCGCGUCGGGAGUGAAAACACGGGGCUUAACCCCGUGCCUGCUUCCGAUACGGGCAGACUAGAGGUAUGCAGGGGAGAGCGGAAUUCCCGGUGUAGUGGUGAAAUGCGUAGAUAUCGGGAGGAACACCAGUGGCGAAGGCGACUACCUGGCCUGUUCUUGACGCUGAGGCGCGAAAGCUAGGGGAGCAAACGGG